AUCGAACGCUGGCGGCAGGCCUAACACAUGCAAGUCGAGCGAGCGGCGGACGGGUGAGUAAUGUAUGGGGACUGCCCGAUAGCGGGGGAUCACUACUGGAAACGGUGGCUAAUACCGCCUACUGUCGGAUAACCCAUAUGGGAUUAGCUAGUAGGUAAGGGAAUGGCUUACCUAGGCGACGAUCCCUAGCUGUGCUGAGAGGAUGAUCAGCCACACUGGGACUGAGACACGGCCCAGACUCCUACGGAGGCAGCAGUGGGGAAUAUUGGACAAUGGGCGAAAGCCUGAUACAGCCAUGCCGCGUGUAUGAAGAAGGCCCUAGGGUUGUAAAGUACGUUCAGUCGGGAGGCGUUACCGAAAGAAGAAGUACCGGCUAACUCCGUGCCAGCAGCCGCGGUAAUUC
rnacentral:rRNA from 1 species